GCCCUUCCAGAGACGCAACUAGACAAGGAACACGUCGGGAAAAAGGACCUGCACACAGAUGUAGGCUACAGUUACUCUUUCUCUUUGACAAUUAAAGACCCAUCAUUAUUGUUGCAUUCAAAACUUAAAACUGAGGAAAGUUGGUUUUUUCUAGAACAGAAUCUAGUACUCUCCGAGGCAAAACUAAAGGUGGAAAAUUCAAUUACCAGGUGCUUUGUAGUCUUGUAAUGCAAUAACAUAGUUUGAGCGUUUCUUCAGGCCCUCGAGGAAGUAGACGACAAGAUCCCUAAUAUCCUCUGCAUUGGGCUUUGGAAUGUGAACUCUUCACCGCGUACAGUUGAUAGUGUGAAUGUCUGCGUAAAAACUUUGUUGGUUCUGAAAUCAGGAUACAAACUGAAUUACAACUGGUGAAUCAAACUGUAAAUUAACAAAAGCACAGAACACUACAUGUUAUCAUGCCAAUAUUGUUUCUUAUCCGAUUGUGAGAUAUGGCUCAGUGCUAUAGGGGAGGCGGAGGAGUCAAUCAGCUGGUAAACUUUCACUGAGCAAAAAAAGAUCAUUAGAAUAUUUUCAAUCUGCCAUAUAACCACUCAGCAAAAUAAAUUUUCGAGAGACACCAAAUUCUAACGCUGCCCUUAUUUUAUAUAUAUGAAUGUUUCAAAUUCGCUAUCUAUAACAACCUACUAAAGACCGACAACUUAAUCCCUUCUCACACUUAUAAUAGCAGGCACGAUUUUAUUGUAGUCCCAAAACACAGGCUAAAGAAGAGGGAACAAUGUCAAAAUUGCUUCGACAACCUCUACUCUCUGUCCAAAAAUUUAAGAGAUUUGUUUGAAGUAGGAAACAUUGCUGGGUUCCUGACUUCACUUAAAAACUUUUUAGAAGCAUAUGCCUUGUAAUCUGAGGAAGAAUUCAUCAAGUUACUAUCUGUAUCAUGUAUCUACUAUUAUCAUGUAACUAUCUACCAUGUGACUUGUAUUAUAGCCAUGUACAUAGCUCAUGCACUAAAUGUAAAAAUAAAAAAUAAAAAUUACUUUUGACUGGAGACGGAGGUGAUUUCCGGGAAUGAAAGCUCUAACAAGACCUGUUCUUGAUCAUCGACGACAUACACUCCUGUCCAAUUCACUGCAAUUAUUACAUCAUUUUUGGGCAGGUUGGGUCCUAAUGAACAGAGAUACAAGACACAGAAUUCAUUAGAAGUUAUUAAAUGCCAGAAAUAUUUUCAGACUGUUGGGACACAUUUUACUACAAUGUUUAUCUAAUGUUUUACAUUUGAUUUUCAUUAGAAAAUGACAUUACAACAGUGGCUUGAAAAAUUUUUACUAUUUAAAUUCAAUCGAAGAUGUCACUGUUUCUGAGAUAAGUGCAAUUAAAGCUGAACCAAGUGACGUGAAAUGGAAAAUUAGAGCAUUAAAUGACCGCAGAAGUUAACUUCCUGUCACAUUCUGUUUUUGGUUUUUGUUUUUGUAAUGGCCUCACAGUGUAUAAAAAUACCAAAGGAGGUAGAGAUGCAGCAAUUUUCAGAUUGAAAGUGAAGUAGAAAUGUACAUCGGCCUAUCAGCUGAUAAAAAUGAGGCUACAUUAAAGCAUAGACACUUUUUAGCGCUGGUACCGUUGAACAUACAGGUUGUGCAAAAAAGAUAAAAGCUUAUCAAUAUCUUGAGAACAGGGGCAGAUUUUUACAUGCGAUUUGUAAAAGACAUUCUUAAACAAAAGUGGGUAUAUUUUUUGCCAUCACUUUUUUAAAGUCAAAAACAUUAAUUACCCUUGGGUACUUCUCUGUUCUCAAGAGGAAGCACUUCUCAACACAUUUUCUACAUCUUACCAAUUGGAAAGAGGAAUUGCCUCCACUGAUGGCCAAUGAAAACCUGAACAACACUAAAAAAAAGUAGAACACAUUAAGAUAUGCUGAUCAAGACACAUGCUACUUUUACCUGAAUUCCUGUAUGCUUCGUAAAACCUAGAGAAAAGUAACGGCCAUUUGAACUUCGCAUAGCUCACAACAUCUUCCUUAACACGCAAAGCAGGGACUUUUUCUUUCAAAUAGUAACUCUGCUCAUGCAAAACACAAAAGGCACUUAGUUAUAAAAAAAAGGCUAAACGCAAAAAUAAUUUAAAAUCAACAACUAAAAAUUGUCAACAAUACAUAAUACAUAAUAAUAAAAAGCAAUAAAAAACUAAAAAAAUUGGCCUCCGGCCAAUUUAUGCGCGGCGCUUCGCGCCGCGUACCGGCGCUACGCGCCGGCAUUUGGGGGGCUUCGCCCCCCAUCCGCUUCGCGGACUGGUGCGGGGACCGCACGGGACUUUCUCGCUCGAGCCGGCGCUUCGCGCCGGCAUUAUAGUGGCUCCGCCACCUGUCGCUCAACGAUGUGAUUCUGUAAAUACUAUUUUUAUCG
rnacentral:lncRNA from 1 species